rnacentral:rRNA from 1 species
UUUGUGGGGUGCUCGAGUGGCGGACGGGUGAGUAACACGUGAGUAACCUGCCCUUGACUUUGGGAUAACUUCAGGAAACUGGGGCUAAUACCGGAUAGGAGCUCCUGCUGCAUGGUGGGGGUUGGAAAGUUUCGGCGGUUGGGGAUGGACUCGCGGCUUAUCAGCUUGUUGGUGGGGUAGUGGCUUACCAAGGCUUUGACGGGUAGCCGGCCUGAGAGGGUGACCGGCCACAUUGGGACUGAGAUACGGCCCAG